UUCCUGCACUUCCGUGUGUCACAGUGAUAUUUGUCCCCGGUAGAAAAACUUACAGGGUGGAGCAGCUGCCAGCACCACCGCAGCAAAAGAUGGAGCUCGUUGUAGGUGAAAGAUAGAGUAAUGGAGCUUCAUCCACCACCCACAGCCAUUGUAGCUUCACCUCGCCUGUUGCCUUCGUAAGCCAACAACACACCGCUCAGGGUUGGGCUUUAUGGCGAGUCUGUCGUAUCUUGUGCUCCGGUUUUCGGGCUCCGCUGGUCGGACUUACGGACUGUUCUCCAAAGGCUUGACGAGGACUUUGUUGAUAUUUUUUGAUCUCGCUUGGCGGCUGAGAAUACGAUUCCCCUACUUUUACUUGGUGGCCUCAAUGAUGUUCAACGUCAGAUUACAGGUCCACAUAGAAAUCCAUUGAGUCGUCAGUGUGAAACCUUUGGGCUUUAAGCAGUGAACGGUGCCCUCAUAAAGAUCUGCUGCCUUUGCCAGUCAAAGGUGGUCAGGAUGUGUGGAACCGGAGCGCCCGAUGAGGACCGACUGAUGGAUGUGGACAGAAAAUAAGCCUCGUAGUUACUGAUCAGUUUACUCAGACUGUGAAACUGCCCCGUUCCCUCUCUGAAUAUGAAAUGCGAUGAUUGUCACUUGUUUGUCGCUCAUUUGUCCGAUGUGUCUCAGGUCGCACUUUGUGACACCUCACAGCCAAAAUCUGGAUGCACUUUGCUUUCCUCCUAGAAAGGUUUAUAUUCACAGCAUGACAUAAACAAGCUUGUUUUUUCUCUUGUGACUCAGACACUUUAUGAGGGGGGAGAUUAGUUAUACAGGCGGUACGUGUUUUUGUUUUCUUUACAGAUAUUUAAGGGAAUCUGAACUGCUUGGACUGGAAAUCUUGCAUGUACAGGAUAACCAGAAAUGUUACACAGGAUUUUUCUCAUCAACAGGUUUUCCCUUCUGUGAUUCUGUAUCUCAGUCUGACUGGAGAGGUGAAUUAAUUAUUUCUUACAUUUUUGUAUAUCAGUUUGUUUGGUUUAGUGUCGAGAUAUUUUUAAGGUCUGAGCACUGACCUUUUAUUUACAGUCUGUUGCACCAAUGAAAAUAGUUGAACUUUGAUGAAAUAAAUGAAUGAGAGCAACA